rnacentral:sRNA from 1 species
UUCUGACAACGGGUGGACAUUUAUAGAGC